UACGAAGGGGGCUAGCGUUGUUCGGAAUUACUGGGCGUAAAGCGCGCGCAGGCGGUUCUUCAAGUCAGAGGUGAAAGCCCAGAGCUCAACUCUGGAAUGGCCUUUGAGACUAGAGAACUAGGGUACGGGAGAGGUGAGUGGAAUUCCGAGUGUAGAGGUGAAAUUCGUAGAUAUCGUUUGGAACGCCAAUGGUGAAAACAGGUUGCUGGGAGUGUGCUGACGCUGAGACACGAAAGCCAGGGGAGCGAACGGG
rnacentral:rRNA from 1 species